GGGUUGUGAGGUUAAGCGACUAAGCGUACACGGUGGAUGCCCUGGCAGUCAGAGGCGAUGAAGGGCGUGCUAAUCUGCGAUAAGCGCCGGUAAGGUGAUAUGAACCGUUAUAACCGGCGAUACCCGAAUGGGGAAACCCAGUGUGACUCGUCACACUAUCAUUAACUGAAUCCAUAGGUUAAUGAGGCGAACCGGGGGAACUGAAACAUCUAAGUACCCCGAGGAAAAGAAAUCAACCGAGAUUCCCCCAGUAGCGGCGAGCGAACGGGGAGGAGCCCAGAGCCUGAAUCAGCAUGUGUGUUAGUGGAAGUGUCUGGAAAGGCGCGCGAUACAGGGUGACAGCCCCGUACACAAAAGCGCAUGUGCUGUGAGCUCGAUGAGUAGGGCGGGACACGUGGUAUCCUGUCUGAAUAUGGGGGGACCAUCCUCCAAGGCUAAAUACUCCUGACUGACCGAUAGUGAACCAGUACCGUGAGGGAAAGGCGAAAAGAACCCCGGCGAGGGGAGUGAAAAAGAACCUGAAACCGUGUACGUACAAGCAGUGGGAGCACAGGUUUACCUGUGUGACUGCGUACCUUUUGUAUAAUGGGUCAGCGACUUAUAUUCUGUAGCAAGGUUAACCGAAUAGGGGAGCCGCAGGGAAACCGAGUCUUAAUUGGGCGUUAAGUUGCAGGGUAUAGACCCGAAACCCGGUGAUCUAGCCAUGGGCAGGUUGAAGGUUGGGUAACACUAACUGGAGGACC
rnacentral:rRNA from 1 species